CGCCAUCGCCUCGUGCACCAUGCCGUCCACUCUGAUCUUCUUUUGUACGUAUUUUCUUCGUUUAGACUCCGUUUGGGCUAUUUUUGAGCUUCUUAAACUCUAUUUGUCAUCCUGGACCUCGUUGUGGGCUCAAUAUGGAUCAAAUCUUGAGGUAUAUUUUCUAACAAUCUCUAUCUUGACUUGAUAUUCGAUCUUCAUCUAUCUCUGAGAGCCUAUGAUCUAUCUCACCCGCAUGCCUUGGGGCAUGCCUGCUGUCUAAUGGAUAGACAAACGUGGGAAUCAAGCUAGGCUGCUCGAUCCCACCUCCAUCAUAGGCUAUGUCCACUCUGACCAA
rnacentral:lncRNA from 1 species